GAUGAACGCUGGCGGCGUGCCUAAUACAUGCAAGUCGAGCGAACGGACGAGAAGCUUGCUUCUCUGAUGUUAGCGGCGGACGGGUGAGUAACACGUGGAUAACCUACCUAUAAGACUGGGAUAACUUCGGGAAACCGGAGCUAAUACCGGGUAAUAUUUUGAACCGCAUGGUUCAAAAGUAAAAGACGGUCUUGCUGUCACUUAUAGAUGGAUCCGCGCUGCAUUAGCUAGUUGGUAAGGUAACGGCUUACCAAGGCAACGAUGCAUAGCCGACCUGAGAGGGUGAUCGGCCACACUGGAACUGAGACACGGUCCAGACUCCUACGGGAGGCAGCAGUAGGGAAUCUUCCGCAAUGGGCGAAAGCCUGACGGAGCAACGCCGCGUGAGUGAUGAAGGUCUUCGGAUCGUAAAACUCUGUUAUUAGGGAAGAACAUAUGUGUAAGUAACUGUGCACAUCUUGACGAUACCUAAUCAGAAAGCCACGGCUAACUACGUG
rnacentral:rRNA from 1 species